UUGAGCGCAUCCUGAGUGUUCUGGUACCCAAGGCAUAUGGUGCAUAUUUAUAGGGCUCCAUCUGAGGGCUUCCAUAAAUUAAGCCGACACAGUUAUCCGUAAGAAAGUAAAAUAAGCACUUUGCUCUAAAAACCAAAAGAAGUUUUCCAAACCCUACCUCUGUGCAUCUAGCUAGCUACCACAAACACAGAAUCCUGAAAGAGAAAUUCUAGAAACAGCAAAAGUGCUAACCACUCAUCUUUAGCAAGCUGGCUUUUUUCAGAACGUAUACGAAGCACAUAGAGUGCACAGUUUAGAACCAGCAAUCUUCAUUCUCGCAGAUUCAUUUCACUGUGUCCACGGAAAUUUCUGGAUGUUCCCUUUGGACCAGUUUGAGAGACGAGGUAAUCCUCUUUUGUGAAACUUGCUAUCUAAAUUGUGGGCAAUUUCCUUAACCUCAUAGGUAACACGAGGAUUAUAGUAUGAUCUCCCCCACAGAGUUGUUUUACAAAUUAGAGCCUAUUGACUGUAGAGUGGUUUCCACAAUGACCGCAUAUACUAGACACCAACUGAAAGCAGCAUUUGUUCUUCCUGUUGUUGUUAUUUUUCUUUUUCAAACUGGGUUAAAUGAAUUUGAGAGAACAAGGAUCACUUCCACUGCCUACGAAAGUGAUUGCCAUUGAAUCAGGCUUGCGUGGGCCCCUGGGGAGCGGCAAGGUCAUGGGUGAGAUCACGCUCCCCCUGCCUCUCCUGCACCUAACCUCUACUGACCCCUCCACCGCUCAUGGUUGCUCUCCUUCUGGUCUUGGCAGGUAUUUUGUCACGCUGAUCUUAAUCAGAUCACUGUGUAAUUACAGAGGGACUGUCAGGAUAUUUUUGGUUGUCAUCUCCUAACAAAAUGCAGAUUGCGUGGCAUGUAUACAUAGAAUUACUCUGUAAUUCAAAGUAAAUUGACAUUUAAUUUCAAUUUAAUUACACAGAAAUUACAGACAUGACAGAUACAGUCUAAUUAGGAAGCAAAGUAUACGACUCUGUUUAUGGAAUGAAAAUCCAUAUCAUGUCACACUUUUCACAGAAUCAAAAUAAUUUCUGCAUUUUGCUAGAGGAUACGUACUGACAACAACAGUAACAAUUGAAGUUGCACUGCUGCCUCAUCUACCAUGUGCACAUAUUUUAUCUCAUUUAAUACUAGAGAUAACCGUGAGGUUGGUGUGUGGUCCUUCCUGCGGUGCCCAUGAAACCGAUGGUUGGAGAAGUUAGUGUUCAUAAGUGGUCAAAGUGAAAUGGUCAUUUCUCAUGGACUUGAAGGCCUGAGCUUGGCAACACUGUGCUGCCUCCUCCCUGUCACUUCUGGGCAGAGG
rnacentral:lncRNA from 1 species